CUGGCACAUAUCCUCCAAAAUUACCACUGAGUGGGAGAGAAAACUGAAUACAGAAGAUGACACAGUACAAAGAGCCUUUUCAUUGAGUUAUGCCCAGGGUUUUAUGAGAACACAGCAGUGAUGCAUCAAAAUAAGAACGAUCAUUCAGGGAAGACUUCUGGGAGAGGUGGUAAGUGAGCUAGAAUUUGAAGGAUGGGUAGGAGUUGGCUAAAUUAACCAAGGGUGCAGAGAGGGGGAAAGUGACGUGUCAUGGAGGGCAAGUGGGUUUCCUCAUGUUAUUAUUUCUGAUGUCAUGAUGGAGUAAAACAGAAGAAUAAGUUAAGGGGGAUGUAGAAACCUGGUCCAACCUCUGUUAAAUGAAGCUUUCAAAUCGAACUGUGAUAUCUGCCAGGGCAUGAGGAAAAUGUCAAACAAUCACUACCUUACCUCUAUUCUCAAAGGUUUGUUGGAAGUGAAACAAACGGAAAAAUUCAGGUUUAAUUACUGUGAUAAGCAUGGAAAGAAAUAAACCUGAUAAAUGACAACCUUGGAAAUAUGCAGCAGAAUUAACAGGAGGAAGUUAUACUUUUGCCCAUCUAUUAUGUGUAUUCUUAUCUCUUCUCAUUUAAUGGAAGAAACAUAUAUUGUAUUUUUCCUGGAAGAUUCUAAAAAUGUCGCUGUUCUUACUUGCACCUUUAUUUAUCUAUUUGCUGCCUUGGUCACAAUGCCAGUUUUCUUAUUUGUUCAGAGUAUUUUGAGAAAGUGGAGAUCCGGGCAGGCUAUGAUCUAUUUGUUACUGUAUUAUACAUAAGGGCAGUUUGAAUCUAUUUUAUCUAAGCCUGUGCUAUCUAUUCAACUCUGAGUUUGCAUAAAAUACAUAUUCCUAUGGCCCUUAGAAUACAUGACAUUUUAUCAAAAGUGACCUGUAUGGUCCCGUUUGUUUCUCUCGUGAUGAUACCUCCUGGGUUUCCCAUAACAAAGAACUUCGAGCUUCCAAGGAGAGUUAAUGCUCUACCUUUUGAAGAUUGUGAGUUGGCGAGAUCACACACUAGGUAACUGAAGCCUGAAACAUCAUAAAGGUAUUUUCAAAACUCAGGCAUUCUGUGAAUGAGACAUAAAAUGAAUUUCAUGCCCAUCGGCUCCCUGGAGCCUUGUCACAAUAGAUAAGGCCAAAUCGAAGGAUGCAGCGUUACUUCUUGUGGGCUAGUGAGCGCCAGAGUUAAUAACUGAAUCAUCAUUUCACUCCAGGACAUAGAAGCUUGCUACAUCCUGUCUCCUUUUGAUCCCUUUAUAAUAGCAAACGAAGAAAUACUUUUAAAUCAGACGAAAUGAUGAAGACAUCUAUAUAUGCUCUCCUAUAAUUUGGCCUAAACACUUAUUCAAAAUCCCUUCCUCUGGGUGGGCUUCUCAGACGAAUCCCAUCAUCUGUUUACCUUAAUAUUUCAUUUGUGUGGUACAUUGAUUGUGUAAAUGAUCCCAGUCCUUCAUACCCUCACCCCCUCCGCAUAUCCACAUGCCUGGCAAUGUGCCUUAGUAGUCCUCAGCAUUCAGGGAAUCUAUUUCCCAGACCCUUAGUUCUGAGUUGGGCCACGGGAUUUGAUUGUGUGUGUGUGCUUACUCAGUUGUGUCUGCUCCUUUGUGACCUCAUGGACUGUAGCCCAGCAGGCUUCUCUGUCCAUGGAAAUUUCCAGGCAAGAAUACUGGAGUGGAAUGCCAAUUCCUACUGCAGGGAAUCUUCCCCACCCAGGGACUGAACUCACCUUUCUUGCAUCUUCUGCCUUGGCAGGUGGAUUCUUUACCUCUAGCACCACCUAGGAAGUCCCGUGAUUUGAUGGGGCCUCUGUAACUUCAACAGUUGUGAUCUAAGUGGAAGCUUGUUAAAGUGACUACCAUUUCCAUGUCCUUUCUUCCUCUGAUUUUGCCAUGAGAACAAGUCUAGACUAGUCUAGACUAGCUUGCUAGAGAAGAAAUGUGUGUCCUUGCUGUACCAGUUGCCAGGCAGCCAACCACCAGACGUCAUUAGUGUGACAAGAAGCCACAGGUGGCCACAGGUGUACAACCAACCCAGCUGAGCCCAACCUACAGCUGCGGAGCACUGUAGUCUCAUGAGCUGGGUACAUAGUUACUAUCUGAUGACACCAAGGUCUCAUGCUUGGUACAUAGCUUUACUGUGCCCAUGCACACUGAUAACAAUUUCUGUUGUUUCUAUUUAUGUAUAUUAUGCUUUCUAAUUCAUAGCAAAAAUUUUUUUUUAUUUUGCUUUUGUUGCAUGUACUAAGCUUAUUCCAUUAGCUUCCCCUUUAUUUAAAGAAUUAGCUUUGUUUAAUGAACUUUCUGUCUGAGACCCCAGAAGAGGCUACCACAUGGCCCUCCACUCCCUUUUGCCUUUCACUGAUUGGACUAAAAUUGUGUACCUGUUUCAAAGACAUGCAGACUGGCUGGUUGGCAGCUAACCAGAUCUGCUAUCUAAUCUGAUGAAAGGAAUUUGAAUUAAGGCAACUGAGAUGCUUGCUGAAGUGGAUGCAGUGACAGGGAGGUUAGGAAUGGUUUCCGUGUUGAACCAUAUGCGUGGUUAGUUCAUUGUUAGAUCAAGCAGGUUACAAAAUAGAGUGCAGUAUGCAGCAGGAAGCAGAGAUGAGGAAGCUGGUGGCCUCCAAAAGACAGCAAAGGUGACCUUGUGCCUUGUGGCUCUCUGGACCCCAGCUCUGAUUUUCAAGGGUUCUACCUCUGAUUCUAAGAGAUUCUCUUUCACUUUCAGUCACCAGCCAGACUUCAACUCCUCUGUGUGAGCUAAGUUGCUUCAAUUAUAUUCGACUCUUCGUGAUCCUAUGGACGGUAGCCUGCAACGCUCCUCUGUCCAUGGGAUUCUGCAGUCAAGAAUACUGGAGUCAAUUGCCAUGCCCUCCUCCAGGGGAUUUUCCCUACCCAGGGAUUGAACCUGCAUCUCUUACAUCUCCUGCAUUGGCAGGCAGAUUCUUCAUCACUAGGUCCAUGUUAGUUUUAGAACAGUUUUAGGUAUACUGGAAUUUUGUAAAGGUAGUACGGAGGGUUCUUAUACAUCCUGCACUCAAUUUUUCCUAUUAUUAGCAUCUUACAUUUGUGUGGUACAUUUGUAAAAGUGAGUCAACCAACAUUGAUGCGGUACAUCCUUUAUUCAGAUUUCCUUAGUUUUUCACCAUUUUUUUUUUUUCCUGUUUCAGGAUACCUUAUAAGAUGCCAUAUUAUAUUUGGCCAUCAAACUUGCCAGGUGGCACUAGUGGUAAAGACUCCACCUGCCGGUGCAGGAGAUGCACGAGAUGCAGGUUCUAUCCCUGGGUGGGGAAGAUCUCCUGGAGAACGAAAUGGCACCCCACUCCAGUAUUCUUG
ensembl:lncRNA